rnacentral:rRNA from 1 species
UGUCUAAACGACUCUCGGCAACGGAUAUCUCGGCUCUCGCAUCGAUGAAGAACGUAGCGAAAUGCGAUACUUGGUGUGAAUUGCAGAAUCCCGUGAACCAUCGAGUCUUUGAACGCAAGUUGCGCCCGAAGCCAUUAGGCCGAGGGCACGCCUGCCUGGGCGUCACACGUCGUUGCCCC